rnacentral:rRNA from 1 species
ACAACGCUGGUCGGCAGGCUUCCCCACAUGUUGAAAUCGAACGCCCGCAAGGGGAGUGGCAGCUAAGGUGAGUAACGCGUGGGAACAUACCCUUUCCUGCGGAAUAGCUCCGGGAAACUGGAAUUAAUACCGCAUACGCCCUACGGGGGAAAGAUUUAUCGGGGAAGUGAUUGGCCCGCGUUGGAUUAGCUAGUUGGUGGGGUAAAGCGCCUACCAAGCGACGAUCCAUAGCUGGUCUGAGUAGGAUGAUCAGCCACAUUGGCGACUGAGACACGGCCCAAACUCCUACGGGAGGCAGCAGUGGGGAAUAUUGGACAAUGGGCGCAAGCCUGAUCCAGCCAUGCCGCGAUGAGUGAUGAACGGCCUUCGGGUUGUAAAGCACUUCCAGCGGGAAGAUAAUGACGGUAUCCGGAGAAGAAGCCCCGGCUAACUUCGUGCCAGCAGCCGCGGUAAUACGAAGGGGGCUAGCGUUGUUCGGAAUUACUGGGCGUAAAGCGCACGUAGGCGGAUAUUUAAGUCAGGGGUGAAAUCCCAGAGCUCAACUCUGGAACUGCCUUUGAUACUGGGUAUCUUGAGUAUGGAAGAGGUAAGUGGAAUUCC